UACGGAGGGAGCAAGCGUUACUCGGAAUUAUUGGGCGCAAAGGGCGCGUAGGCGAUUUGGCAAGUCUUGUGUGAAAGCCCACAGCCUAACUGUGGAAGUGCACAAGAUACUGCUGAAUUUGAGUUCAGGAGAGGAAGGCAGAAUUCCCGGUGUAGCGGUGAAAUGCGUAGAUAUCGGGAGGAAUACCAGUGGCGAAGGCGGCCUUCUGGACUGACACUGACGCUGAGGCGCGAAAGCUAGGGGAGCAAACGGG
rnacentral:rRNA from 1 species